ACAAAAAAACAACAACAAGAACAACAACAAAUGUCGUCGACUUAGAUCUAAGUCGACGGUAUUUUAUGUUGAAAAGAACUUCACCAGUCUACUCUUCACUAUGGAAUACCGUUUGCGCAAUCUUCUUGACUUGAAUUCUGUAUUUUUUAAUUCAAUUAAUGGAGCGGAAUAUAACAAUGUCAAGUUAACGAUUGAUACUGAAUUCUAAAUUAGGAAAAUAAUUGGAUGAGGUUUGUAAAGUCUUAAGUAAUAUUUACCGGCGGUAUGUAAUAAAGUAUAAUUUAUAUUAUAGCAUGAAAAUAAACAUGCAGCGGCACUCCGUACAUCGUUGGGCUGUCUAGUCUCAACGAACUUGGAUUUCGAUGGUCUGUCUGCAACGUAGGUCUUCGGAUACGUUCAAGUUCAUUUAUCCAUAAUGGCCUCGACAAAUGAUCGUGAUAUUGAAACUUAGACUGCUGACGACAUCAAUAGAAUGCUGGUGGUUGGUAUUCCUCCCGACGUAUACAAGGCAUAAUAUAGAGAGGGGCGGAAAGGAAAUAGACCUGUAUAAAGCAGCGUUGGCAGGCAAAAACAUGGCAGACAUGGGAGACAAAGACAAAUCAGUA